rnacentral:rRNA from 1 species
UACGGAGGGAGCUAGCGUUGUUCGGAAUUACUGGGCGUAAAGCGCACGUAGGCGGCUUUGUAAGUUAGAGGUGAAAGCCCGGGGCUCAACCCCGGAAUUGCCUUUAAGACUGCAUCGCUUGAAUCCGGGAGAGGUGAGUGGAAUUCCGAGUGUAGAGGUGAAAUUCGUAGAUAUUCGGAAGAACACCAGUGGCGAAGGCGGCUCACUGGACCGGUAUUGACGCUGAGGUGCGAAAGCGGUGGGGAGCAAACAGG